UACACGAAUACUUAAUAAGGGAAGAAUGCCUGGAAAUCGAGCGUGAAGCGGAGAGGCAACUCGCGCCGGAGCCGGCUCUCAAUGCAGUCCAUUGACGGGAGCCUCAGUGUAGCAAAUCGGAGACACAGCCAACAUUGGUCAGAAAAAGGGAGAAAGUGGGACAUGGGCUUCCAAGGAGGGAAAUGAAAAAGGGAGCAUCCAACAUCCUCCCUCUCCAGCCUCUCCCCUGCGUUCAUCGGGCGAAUCCGAGAGGCGAGCGCUGCGCUUGGGAAAGUUUGUCUCACCCGCGUUUCUCAGCUGGAGGCGAGGAGGUGCGGGAAGGUAGAGCUCGGAGCCUGAGGCCGCGAGGAUAACUGAGCCAGCGCCGCGCUUACCUCGCAGUCCUCGUACUUGAUAUUAUCCGUCAGUUUCCAAAGCAUUUUCAUGGAUCGGCGUGAACGGAUUUGCCCCCUCUCCGCCUCGCACCCAAGUGGAGCUACUCUCUGGCUCUUUACCAACAGCCUAAUCGCCUCAUUAGCAUAUCAACAAUAGUCCAAUUACUCGCCAGCACCACAAUCUGCCGCCGGCCGCUCCGACCCAGGUAUAAAGGCCUCUCCGAGCCGCGAACUUGCUCCUAGAGCGCACGCUUGCCUGUGAGCCGAGGAAAUCUCCCCUAGCGCCGCCGCACACCCCUGUCCUAACUGUGCCACCCCCCCUCCCAUUCCUCCCCACUCCCCUUCCCCUCCGUCGCCUCCUCGCGGGAGAUGCCCUGAGCAAAGGCCGGACGCUGCGCAGGGCCCGAGCGGCCGCGCCUGGGGCUCGGCUCUCAGCACCUUUUUCCCACCCCUGCUGCCACUAACGGCGCUGUCCUUUCGGCCCCGUCCACUUGUAUUAGAAAUUAUUAUCUCUUUCGCAAUUAAAUAUAACCACCAAACCAAGACCAGCGAAGUCACUCCAGGAUUUUUACCCAACAAGAGAUCGCCUCCGCUCGGGGCAGCACCACCUCAGGCCGCAGAGCCUUGGGAGUUUUAUUGGCUUUGCACUUUCCUCCAGGUUGGAGAUUUUGCCAAACGGUUCCAGUCGCUCGGCUGGGGUUUGCGAUCCUUUAAUUGCCGCGUGUAAAAUAAAAAUUGUACCCUGAAAAGGUUACUGAACAGCUCUGGGGGUUAAAUGAUCUUCCUCUCGUUUGUAUGUAGCUAGGGCCGAGUGACACACCAACAUGGUGUUUGGGCUGAGGGUUUCCCGGAUGCGACAUGCAGAAGGACACAGAACUCCUAUGGAGACUCACAGUCGCUUCUGGAGUUGAGCCGAAAUACUGACAUGUGAGCACUGUGUCAUGCAUGCAUCAAAAUAAAUCGCUGGGAACCAACUCUUCGCUGUGCUAAUCUGCUCCAGUUUUCCCAAGAUCCCCCUUUUUAAUUAAAGCAGGAAGAGUUCCUUCAUGAUUUGGUGAUGUUACUAACGCGGGCGCACUCGCCGCGCGGUGCCCGGCUGACGCCGAACCCUGAGGCCCGGCAGCUACCCCCUCGUGCAGGUUGGCCAGUCUAGGCUAUCCCGCUCUACACGGGAGCCUGCUCGCCCCACCGGGGCUUUACAUUUUUUUCUUCUGUUUUAGUGAAUUUUUUUAAAGGAAGAAAUAAAAUACAAAGAUGUGAUUCUCGAAAUACAGAGUAAUUCAUUUCUCUGGCCGAGCUUCCUCAUUUGUCCUCCAUAAAAAAGUUUCGCUCUGUCUUUUUCCCACUCGAACACAGCAAACUCCCCAACAAGAGUAGGUCUCGCCUCAGAGCUGCUCUACUAACGACCCCUGUGCCUUCUGGGCCUGUUUUCUGCAAAUCCCCAGGCCUCCCAGGUUUCCAUACUGCGAACUCGAAGUGAGGUAGAAAC